rnacentral:rRNA from 1 species
AUUGAACGCUGGCGGCGUGCUUAACGCAUGCAAGUCGUGCGGUAACAGGCGUAGCAAUACGUGCUGACGAGCGGCGAACGGGUGCGUAAUACAUGGGAAUCUGCCCUUUAGUGGGGAAUAACCCGGCGAAAGCCGGGCUAAUGCCGCAUAAGAUCUUCGGAUGAAAGCGGGGGAUCGUAGACCUCGCGCUGAUGGAUGAGCCCAUGUCGGAUUAGCUAGUUGGUGAGGUAACGGCUCACCAAGGCGACGAUCCGUAGCUGGUCUGAGAGGACGGCCAGCCACACUGGGACUGAGACACGGCCCAGACUCCUACGGGAGGCAGCAGUGGGGAAUAUUGGACAAUGGGGGAAACCCUGAUCCAGCGACGCCGCGUGUGUGAAGAAGGCCUGCGGGUUGUAAAGCACUUCCGGUGGGAACGAAAUAUGCCGGGUUAAUACCCGGUAGGCUGACGUUACUCAAUGAAG